rnacentral:rRNA from 1 species
CAGUCGCCGCGGUAAUACGUAGGUGGCAAGCGUUGUCCGGGAUUAUUGGGCGUAAAGGGCACGCAGGCGGUUUCUUAAGUCUGAUGUGAAAGCCCCCGGCUCAACCGGGGAGGGUCAUUGGAAACUGGGAGACUUGAGUGCAGAAGAGGAGAGUGGAAUUCCACGUGUAGCGGUGAAAUGCGUAGAGAUGUGGAGGAACGCCAGUGGCGAAGGCGACUCUCUGGUCUGCAACUGACGCUGAGGAGCGAAAGCGUGGGGAGCGAACAGGAUUAGAUACCCCCGUAGUCCCUGUCUCUUAUAC